rnacentral:rRNA from 1 species
UACAGAGGUGGCAAGCGUUGUUCGGAAUUACUGGGCGUAAAGGGCGCGUAGGCGGCUCGACAAGUCCCGCGUGAAAGCCCCCGGCUCAACUGGGGAACUGCGCGGGAAACUGUCGGACUUGAGUUCGGGAGAGGGAAGCGGAAUUCCGGGUGUAGCGGUGAAAUGCGUAGAUAUCCGGAGGAACACCGGUGGCGAAGGCGGCUUCCUGGACCGACACUGACGCUGAGGCGCGAAAGCUAGGGUAGCAAACAGG